rnacentral:lncRNA from 1 species
GUCACACUCUGGUAAUAAAAUGAAACACAUCUCCAUUUUAUUCCAAGCAACAUGGGUGGCAGGCACUACAAUUGCACUGUCCACUAUGAAUCUUAUCGAAGCAGCUUCUGCAGAAUUAACAGUUUUGCCUCAGUGGAUACUAUCAGAUGAUUGAAACAUACAUUUUCAUGUGUUCUCAACGGAUACAAGAAGUACAUUCAAAAGAUCGGAUCAAACGAUCGAUGCAUCAUGUAAAUGUGGAAUAGUCUUUUACAGAAUCAGUAGACAAUUUGUGGCUCGAAAUCAGCGAAGUCAACAGAUCCAGACUCAACAGGCGGCAUGAGGUAGGCGGCCACAAGCUCAGAGACCAAUGCAGCAAUGAGAGGUAUCCUCUUCAAGUUCUUCACCACAGCAAUCUCCUGGCUCUCUCCUACAGCAAUCAGCUUCUGGUUGAUCUCCACCAUUGUGUCCAGCUUCCUCUUGAACUCAGGGUUCUCAACAUCCAACACAGCUGGGAAAAUCCUCGCUGUUGUGCGGUUUGUCUGAGACAAAAAGGACAUGGCAUUGUCGAAUUCAGGAUUACAAGAGAACUCCGGCAUAUCAUAUAAUUCAGGAAGAUGAAAUGGAUCGAUCGGUUACCUCGAUGAUGACAUGCAUGUCGAAUUCUUUGGUGUCGAGACCGAUCCCUUCGUAGAAAGCCGUUCGCUGGCAAUCAUUUAGGUACAUGGUUACAUAGACCUGCCAUUGUUUGAGGCAUAGAUUUGUUGUCAUAGCUGUCUUAUGGUGGUCGCGCAAACAAUCGAGAGGAUAUUACCGAGAGGCAGAAGAAUCGUGACCACAGUUUGGCCUUCCAGUCAUUGAGGAACUGCGGCUGAGCUUUGAGCAAAGCAGAGAAGAAGUCUCCAUGCCUGUUCUCAUCCUGGCACCAGUUCUCGAAGUACUUGAAGAUGGGAUAGAC